UGCUGGAGGUAUCAGAAGUGCGAAUGCUGACAUAAGUAACGAUAAAGCGGGUGAAAAGCCCGCUCGCCGGAAGACCAAGGGUUCCUGUCCAACGUUAAUCGGGGCAGGGUGAGUCGACCCCUAAGGCGAGGCCGAAAGGCGUAGUCGAUGGGAAACGGGUUAAUAUUCCCGUACUUGGUGUUACUGCGAAGGGGGGACGGAGAAGGCUAUGUUGGCCGGGCGACGGUUGUCCCGGUUUAAGCGUGUAGGUGUGUGUUCCAGGUAAAUCCGGUUCACUUUAACACUGAGGCGUGAUGACGAGGCACUACGGUGCUGAAGCAACAAAUGCCCUGCUUCCAGGAAAAGCCUCUAAGCAUCAGGUAACAUCAAAUCGUACCCCAAACCGACACAGGUGGUCAGGUAGAGAAUACCAAGGCGCUUGAGAGAACUCGGGUGAAGGAACUAGGCAAAAUGGUGCCGUAACUUCGGGAGAAGGCACGCUGACACGUAGGUGAAGUGAUUUACUCACGGAGCUGAAGUCAGUCGAAGAUACCAGCUGGCUGCAACUGUUUAUUAAAAACACAGCACUGUGCAAACACGAAAGUGGACGUAUACGGUGUGACGCCUGCCCGGUGCCGGAAGGUUAAUUGAUGGGGUCAGCGUAAGCGAAGCUCCUGAUCGAAGCCCCGGUAAACGGCGGCCGUAACUAUAACGGUCCUAAGGUAGCGAAAUUCCUUGUCGGGUAAGUUCCGACCUGCACGAAUGGCGUAAUGAUGGCCAGGCUGUCUCCACCCGAGACUCAGUGAAAUUGAACUCGCUGUGAAGAUGCAGUGUACCCGCGGCAAGACGGAAAGACCCCGUGAACCUUUACUAUAGCUUGACACUGAACAUUGAGCCUUGAUGUGUAGGAUAGGUGGGAGGCUUUGAAGUGUGGACGCCAGUCUGCAUGGAGCCGACCUUGAAAUACCACCCUUUAAUGUUUGAUGUUCUAACGUGGACCCGUAAUCCGGGUUGCGGACAGUGUCUGGUGGGUAGUUUGACUGGGGCGGUCUCCUCCUAAAGAGUAACGGAGGAGCACGAAGGUUGGCUAAUCCUGGUCGGACAUCAGGAGGUUAGUGCAAUGGCAUAAGCCAGCUUGACUGCGAGCGUGACGGCGCGAGCAGGUGCGAAAGCAGGUCAUAGUGAUCCGGUGGUUCUGAAUGGAAGGGCCAUCGCUCAACGGAUAAAAGGUACUCCGGGGAUAACAGGCUGAUACCGCCCAAGAGUUCAUAUCGACGGCGGUGUUUGGCACCUCGAUGUCGGCUCAUCACAUCCUGGGGCUGAAGUAGGUCCCAAGGGUAUGGCUGUUCGCCAUUUAAAGUGGUACGCGAGCUGGGUUUAGAACGUCGUGAGACAGUUCGGUCCCUAUCUGCCGUGGGCGCUGGAGAACUGAGGGGGGCUGCUCCUAGUACGAGAGGACCGGAGUGGACGCAUCACUGGUGUUCGGGUUGUCAUGCCAAUGGCACUGCCCGGUAGCUAAAUGCGGAAGAGAUAAGUGCUGAAAGCAUCUAAGCACGAAACUUGCCCCGAGAUGAGUUCUCCCUGAGACUUAGAGUCUCCUGAAGGAACGUUGAAGACGACGACGUUGAUAGGCCGGGUGUGUAAGCGCAGCGAUGCGUUGAGCUAACCGGUACUAAUGAACCGUGAGGCUUAACCUUACAACGCCGAAG
rnacentral:rRNA from 1 species